rnacentral:rRNA from 1 species
GACGAACGCUGGCGGCGUGCUUAACACUUGCAAGUCGAACGGAAAGGCCCUGCUUUUGUGGGGUGCUCGAGUGGCGAACGGGUGAGUAACACGUGAGUAACCUGCCCUUGACUUUGGGAUAACUUCAGGAAACUGGGGCUAAUACCGGAUAGGAGCUCCUGCUGCAUGGUGGGGGUUGGAAAGUUUCGGCGGUUGGGGAUGGACUCGCGGCUUAUCAGCUUGUUGGUGGGGUAGUGGCUUACCAAGGCUUUGACGGGUAGCCGGCCUGAGAGGGUGACCGGCCACAUGGGGACUGAGAUACGGCCCAGACUCCUACGGGAGGCAGCAGUGGGGAAUAUUGCACAAUGGGCGGAAGCCUGAUGCAGCAACGCCGCGUGCGGGAUGACGGCCUUCGGGUUGUAAACCGCUUUCGCCUGUGACGAAGCGUGAGUGACGGUAAUGGGUAAAGAAGCACCGGCUAACUACGUG